rnacentral:rRNA from 1 species
AUUGAACGCUGGCGGCAUGAUUUACACAUGCAAGUCGAACGGUAACAGGCCGCAAGGUGCUGACGAGUGGCGAACGGGUGAGUAAUGCAUCGGAACGUGCCCAGUCGUGGGGGAUAACUACUCGAAAGAGUAGCUAAUACCGCAUACGAUCUAUGGAUGAAAGCGGGGGACCGUAAGGCCUCGCGCGAUUGGAGCGGCCGAUGUCAGAUUAGGUAGUUGGUGGGGUAAAGGCUCACCAAGCCAACGAUCUGUAGCUGGUCUGAGAGGACGACCAGCCACACUGGGACUGAGACACGGCCCAGACUCCUACGGGAGGCAGCAGUGGGGAAUUUUGGACAAUGGGCGCAAGCCUGAUCCAGCAAUGCCGCGUGCAGGAAGAAGGCCUUCGGGUUGUAAACUGCUUUUGUACGGAACGAAACGGCUCUGGUUAAUACCCGGGGCUAAUGACGGUACCGUAAGAAUAAGCACCGGCUAACUAUGUG